AGAGAUAGAGCCUUCCCCUUCGGGGGACAAAGUGACAGGUGGUGCAUGGUUGUCGUCAGCUCGUGUCGUGAGAUGUUGGGUUAAGUCCCGCAACGAGCGCAACCCUUAAGCUUAGUUGCCAUCAUUAAGUUGGGCACUCUAGGUUGACUGCCGGUGACAAACCGGAGGAAGGUGGGGAUGACGUCAAAUCAUCAUGCCCCUUAUGAUUUGGGCUACACACGUGCUACAAUGGACAAUACAAAGGGCAGCUAAACCGCGAGGUCAUGCAAAUCCCAUAAAGUUGUUCUCAGUUCGGAUUGUAGUCUGCAACUCGACUACAUGAAGCUGGAAUCGCUAGUAAUCGUAGAUCAGCAUGCUACGGUGAAUACGUUCCCGGGUCUUGUACACACCGCCCGUCACACCACGAGAGUUUGUAACACCCGAAGCCGGUGGAGUAACCAUUUAUGGAGCUGGCCGUCGAAGGUGGGACAAAUGAUUGGGGUGAAGUCGUAACAAGGUAGCCGUAUCGGAAGGUGC
rnacentral:rRNA from 1 species